UCUUCUGCAGAAGAGAGGCCUUCAAUUUUGCAAUAUCCUUUGUUGAGGGUUUUAUUUCUACAAUUAUUCAACAAACGUCGGCUUAGAAAGCUAUAUAAUAAUAUAUAUGUAUAAAAGGGGGAAGAAAGUAUAAACGACCCUACUCACUCCUAGGGUCGCUAGAGGAGAGUCCAGUUGAGAAAAGAGAUUCACCAAGUAAAAGCUCACCC
rnacentral:lncRNA from 1 species